rnacentral:rRNA from 1 species
AGGGAUAAACGCUGAAAGCAUCUAAGCGUGAAGCCCACCCUGAGAUGAGAUUUCCCAUAACUCGUGCGUAAGCACGGUGUUAGUAAGACUCCUGGAAGAACACCAGGUUGAUAGGUUAGAGGUGUAAGCAUGGUAACAUGUUCAGCUGACUAAUACUAAUAAGUCGAGGGCUUGACCUUAAU